AGAAUUGGCAGUGAGCACAAGACAAAGGCAACUCUAGAGGAGACCACAGCACAAUUCCCAGUCUUAGUCUUGCUCCCAGCCUAGUUCCACCAGACCCAGGACACCUGAUUCAGCCAGGUAGGGAGCAGAAGGGGAGAGAGAGCUCAAGAUUACACUCCAAGCCUGUGGCCUCCUGUAAAAUGAUGCAGAAGCAAUAAUCACGAGAUCACAUGCCACCAAGUCCUUCAGUAUUGCACCUGGGGUUUGCAAAAGUCCAUCAGUGACUGUGCAUUGCCCAUGCCUUCAGCUCACUGGAUCUCUCCCUCUGGCUGCCCUGUCUCCAGUUCAAAUUUGGCAUUACAGAAUUUCAAG
rnacentral:lncRNA from 1 species